rnacentral:rRNA from 1 species
UACGGGGGGGGCAAGCGUUGUUCGGAAUUACUGGGCGUAAAGGGCUCGUAGGCGGCCAACUAAGUCAGACGUGAAAUCCCUCGGCUUAACCGAGGAAGUGCAUCCGAAACUGAGUCGCUAGAGUACGAUAGAGGGUCGCGGAAUUCCCGGUGUAGAGGUGAAAUUCGUAGAUAUCGGGAGGAACACCGGUGGCGAAGGCGGCGACCUGGGUCGAUACUGACGCUGAGGCGCGAAAGCGUGGGGAGCAAACAGG